rnacentral:rRNA from 1 species
UUGAAACCAGGACGCCAGUUUUGGCGGAGCCAUCCUUGGGAUACCACCCUUGUAGUACUGGGACUCUAACCAUAGGCCAUGAAUCUGGUCUUGGGACACUGUCAGGUGGGCAGUUUGACUGGGGCGGGCGCCUCCCAAAAGGUAACGGAGGCGCUCAAAGGUUCUCUCAGUACGGUCGGAAAUCGUACGUAGAGUGUAAAGGCAAAAGAGAGCUUGAUUGCAAGACAUACAGGUCGAGCAAGGAUGAAAAUCGGACUUAGUGAUCCGGUGGUUC